rnacentral:rRNA from 1 species
GGGGAUUAUUGGGCGUAAAGAGCUUGUAGGUGGCUUGUCGCGUCUGCCGUGAAAACCCGAGGCUCAACCUCGGGCGUGCGGUGGGUACGGGCAGGCUAGAGUGUGGUAGGGGAGACUGGAACUCCUGGUGUAGCGGUGAAAUGCGCAGAUAUCAGGAAGAACACCGAUGGCGAAGGCAGGUCUCUGGGCCAUUACUGACACUGAGAAGCGAAAGCAUGGGUAGCGAACAGGAUUAGAUACCCUGGUAGUCCAUGCCGUAAACGUUGGGCACUAGAUGUGGGGGACAUUCCACGUUUUCCGCGUCGUAGCUAACGCAUUAAGUGCCCCGCCUGGGGAGUACGGCCGCAAGGCUAAAACUCAAAGGAAUUGACGGGGGCCCGCACAAGCGGCGGAGCAUGCUGAUUAAUUCGAUGCAACGCGAAGAACCUUACCAAGGCUUGACAUGCACCGGACGAUCCCAGAGAUGGGGUUUUCUUCGGACUGGUGCACAGGUGGUGCAUGGUUGUCGUCAGCUCGUGUCGUGAGAUGUUGGGUUAAGUCCCGCAACGAGCGCAACCCUUGUUCUAUGUUGCCAGCACGUGAUGGUGGGGACUCAUAGGAGACUGCCGGGGUCAACUCGGAGGAAGGUGGGGAUGACGUCAAAUCAUCAUGCCCUUUAUGUCUUGGGCUUCACGCAUGCUACAAUGGCCGGUACAGAGAGAGGCGAGCCCGUGAGGGUGAGCGAAUCCCUUAAAGCCGGUCUCAGUUCGGAUCGUAGUCUGCAAUUCGACUACGUGAAGUCGGAGUCGCUAGUAAUCGCAGAUCAGCAACGCUGCGGUGAAUACGUUCCCGGGCC